GUGAAAGGCCAAUCAAACUCGGAGAUAGCUCGUACUCCCCGAAAUGCAUUUAGGUGCAGCCUCGUAUGUUUAUAAUGAGAGGUAGAGCGACUGAUCGGACGCGAGGGCUUCACCGCCUAUCAAGUCCGGAUAAACUCCGAAUGCUCAUUAUUGAAGUACGGGAGUGAGGGCGUGGGUGCUAAGGUCCGCGCCCGAGAGGAGAAGAAUCCAGACCGUCGGCUAAGGCCCCGAAAUGCGGGUUAAGUUAAUCUAACGAAGUGUAUUCCCGAAGACAGCUAGGAUGUUGGCUUGGAAGCAGCCAUUCAUUCAAAGAGUGCGUAACAGCUCACUAGUCGAGGGAGUGUGCGUGGAUAAUAAUCGGGUAUGAAAUCCGCUGCCGAAGCCACGGGGGCUGUAGAGCCCGGUAGGGGAGCAUUGCAGUUGCGUAGAAUGUCGGGGAUGACCCCGUCUGGAGCGGCUGGAAAAGCAAAUGUAGGUAUAAGUAACGAUAAAGGGUGUGAGAUUCACCCUCGCCGAAAGGCUAAGGUUUCCCGGGCAACGUCAAUCGUCCCGGGGUGAGUCGGGUCCUAAGGCAAAGCCGAAUGGCGCAGUCGAUGGAAAAACGGUAAAGAUUCCGUUACUGGCUCAUGUGGUGAAGCGGCGACGGAGAAGUGACACUUCCGCGCACCGACGGAAUGGUGCGUUUAAGGGUAAAGGCGUAGAGGGACGCAGUGAAGUACACGUUCCGAGCUGAAGCCCGAAAGUACUCCAAGGGAUUCGUCCCGCGGAGAGUGAAGGUAAUCAUGCUCCCGAGAAAACCCGCUAAGCGUUAACACAUGAGGCACCCGUACCGUAAACGGACACACGUAGCCAGGUAGAAAAUACUAAGGCGCUUGGAAGAUUCACGGUUAAGGAACUAGGCAAAUUGACCCUGUAACUUCGGAAGAAAGGGUCCUCACGUGAGUGAGGCGCAGAGAAUAGGUCCAGGCAACUGUUUAACAAAAACACAGGGCUGUGCGAAUUCGAAAGAAGCGGUAUACAGUCUGACACCUGCCCGGUGCCGGAAGGUUAAGAGGAGAGCUCAUCGCAAGAGAAGGUUUGAAUUGAAGCCCCGGUAAACGGCGGCCGUAACUAUAACGGUCCUAAGGUAGCGAAAUUCCUUGUCGGGUAAGUUCCGACCUGCACGAAUGGUGUAAUGAUCUGGACGCUGUCUCAACCGUGAGCUCAGUGAAAUUGUAGUAUCGGUGAAGAUGCCGAUUACCCGCGAUGGGACGAAAAGACCCCGUGAACCUUUACUGCAGCUUAACGUUGUGACCGGGCAUCGCUCGUGUAGGAUAGGCCGGAGGCUGUGAAGAGCCGGCGCCAGCCGGUUUGGAGCCAUCGUUGAAAUACGGCCCCUGCGCUGUCUGGUCCCUAACCCGUGGUUAUGGGGACCGCGUUUGGCGGGCAGUUUGACUGGGGUGGUCGCCUCCAAAAGUGUAACGGAGGCUUCCCAAGGUGCCCUCGGGCCGUAUGGUAACCGGCCCAAGAGUGCAAUGGCAGAAGGGCGCUUGACUGUGAGGCAGACGUGCCGACCAGGUAGGAAACUAGGGCAUAGUGAUCCGGCGGUUCCGUAUGGAAGGGCCGUCGCUCAAAGGAUAAAAGGUACUCCGGGGAUAACAGGCUGAUCCCUCCCAAGAGCUCAUAUCGACGGAGUGGUUUGGCACCUCGAUGUCGGCUCGUCACAUCCUGGGGCUGGAGAAGGUCCCA
rnacentral:rRNA from 1 species